rnacentral:rRNA from 1 species
CCUACGGGAGGCAGCAGUGGGGAAUCUUGCGCAAUGGGCGAAAGCCUGACGCAGCAACGCCGCGUGCGGGAAGAAGGCUUUCGGGCUGUAAACCGCUUUCAGCAGGAACGAAAAUGACGGUACCUGCAGAAGAAGGAGCGGCCAACUAUGUGCCAGCAGCCGCGGUGAUACAUAGGCUUCAAGCGUUGUCCGGAUUUAUUGGGCGUAAAGAGUUCGUAGGCGGUCGAGUAAGUCGGGUGUGAAAAUUCUGGGCUCAACCCAGAGACGCCACCCGAUACUGCUUGACUUGAGUUCGAUAGGGGAGUGGGGAAUUCCUAGUGUAGCGGUGAAAUGCGCAGAUAUUAGGAGGAACACCGGUGGCGAAGGCGCCACUCUGGAUCGAUACUGACGCUGAGGAACGAAAGCAUGGGUAGCAAACAGGAUUAGAUACCCUGGUAGUCCAUGCCGUAAACGGUGGGCACUAGGUGUGGGAUUCUAUUAACGAAUUCCGCGCCGUCGCUAACGCAUUAAGUGCCCCGCCUGGGGAGUACGGUCGCAAGACUAAAACUCAAAGGAAUUGACGG